rnacentral:rRNA from 1 species
CCUACGGGGCGCAGCAGUGAGGAAUAUUGGUCAAUGGGCGGAAGCCUGAACCAGCCAAGUAGCGUGCAGGAUGACGGCCCUACGGGUUGUAAACUGCUUUUAUACGGGAAUAACGCGCCUUACGUGUAGGGCUUUGCAUGUACCGUAUGAAUAAGGACCGGCUAAUUCCGUGCCAGCAGCCGCGGUAAUACGGAAGGUCCGGGCGUUAUCCGGAUUUAUUGGGUUUAAAGGGAGCGUAGGCCGCAUGUCAAGCGUGCUGUGAAAUGUCCGGGCUCAACCCGGGCCUUGCAGCGCGAACUGGCGUGGUUGAGUCCGCGGAAAGCAGGCGGAAGUCGUCGUGUAGCGGUGAAAUGCUUAGAUAUGACGAAGAACCCCGAUUGCGAAGGCAGCAUACCGGCGCCCAACUGACGCUCAGGCACGAAAGCGUGGGUAUCGAACAGGAUUAGAUACCCCAGUAGUC